UCUCUGUGAUAAUGAAUACGAUGACGAGUCCGAUCUAUGUUAAUCCAUUAUCAAAACCCUAAUGACGAUAAGAGGCAUUUGUCUGAGAGAA